rnacentral:rRNA from 1 species
CAGGCCUAACACAUGCAAGUCGAGCGGUAACAGGGAUAGCUUGCUAUCUGCUGACGAGCGGCGGACGGGUGCGUAACGCGUAGGAAUUUGCCCGAUAGUGGGGGACAGCCCGGAGAAAUUCGGAUUAAUACCGCAUACCUUCUAAGGAAGAAAGCAGGGGAUCUUCGGACCUUGCGCUAUCGGAUGAGCCUGCGUCGGAUUAGCUAGUUGGUAGGGUAAAUGCCUACCAAGGCGACGAUCCGUAGCUGGUCUGAGAGGAUGAUCAGCCACACUGGGACUGAGACACGGCCCAGACUCCUACGGGAGGCAGCAGUGGGGAAUAUUGCACAAUGGGCGCAAGCCUGAUGCAGCCAUGCCGCGUGUGUGAAGAAGGCCCUAGGGUUGUAAAGCACUUUCAGCGAGGAGGAAGGGUAUCUUGCUAAUAUCAAGGUACAUUGACGUUACUCGCAGAAGAAGCACCGGCUAACUCCGUGCCAGCAACCGCGGUAAUACGGAGGGUGCAAGCGUUAAUCGGAAUUACUGGGCGUAAAGCGUGCGUAGGCGGUUAAAUAAGUUGGAUGUGAAAGCCCUGGGCUCAACCUAGGAACUGCACCCAAAACUGUUUAACUAGAGUACGAGAGAGGAGUGUGGAAUUUCCUGUGUAGCGGUGGAAUGCGUAGAUAUAGGAAGGAACACCAGUGGCGAAGGCGGCACUCUGGCUCGAUACUGACGCUGAGGUACGAAAGCAUGGGUAGCAAACAGGAUUAGAUA